ensembl:lncRNA
AUUCUUUGUUUUGCAUAGAAUGGUGGGGAGGACCCAAGGGGAGUUUUAACUCCAGGCUAUUUUGAGCCAUGUAACUUUCCUUCAUCAGCCACCCCAGGAAUGCAGACAUUGUCACCUUGCCCAUCAUAUUAGAGGCCCUGGAGUGGGAAGGCCUAGGUUAUCCAAGAGGUCCGGAUGUUACUGGGGUUCCUAGGGCUCACCGAGAAUGAUCAUCUUCUACUUCUCAACCACAGCUGACCCAAUAACCAGUCUCCUUGGGAAAGGGAAGAAAUUUGUCUAUUCUUGGCCAGGUUGCAUCUUUUCAGCAGUUGAAAUUGUCCACUCUCAUUCUCUGAUCAACUUGUCUAACCAAUGCAAUCAACUACUCAACCCAAACCUCCUACUAAACCAAGUUUCCUAGUGGGUAAUUGCUGAAGUGAGAAGGAACAGGUCAUAGGCUAAAAUCCCUGGAGAACUGACUUCAUAAAGCCACUGAUAAAGCCAUUGCUUCAUAUAGAACUACAACUGCCCUUUCAAAAAUCUAAUAAAUGUGCCUUAGUACUCACAUUUCAGAGCAUACUGUGGCUGGAAUAUAUGCUUUUGAAAUCUGUGGUGAAAGGAUUGCUGGAGAUGAUACACUCACUCCAUUGUUCCCCUCCCAAGACUGAGCCAUUCAUGAAAAAAGGAGAGGGUAACGGACAUAGGUCUUUCUAGAGAAUACUGCACAGCUCCUCAGAAACUCUGCUCUUGGGACCCUCUCAGAAAGCCCUGAAGGAAAAAAUCACAAUUGGGAGUGAGGUCAUGAGCUCAUGGCAUUACCUGUGCUAUUAUUACAUAUUAUUGCUUGCAAGUGUGCUGCUGCUGCAGCAAAAAGAAACAGCUUGUUCUCUGAGAUGUUGUGAUGUCUUUGAUGACCCAAGUCAUCAAACACCCACAGUCCUCGGGGAGUGCAGUCACAUGAUGGUGUCCUUUGUACCUCAUAAGUAUGACUUCCUUGGUGGUUGAGCGGCUGAGAACCUGCCUGACAGUGCGGGACACACAGAUUUGAUCCCUGGUCCGAGAAGACUGCUCCACAUGCUGUGGAGCAGCUAAGGCUAUGUGCCGCAACUGCUGAGCCCGAGCUCUAGAGCCUGUUCUCCACAAUAAGAGAAGCCAACGCAACGAGAAAUCCAAGCAUUGGAAUUAGAGAAUGCCUGAGCACAGCAGGGAAGAUCCAGCACAGCCACAAAUAAAUAAGUUAACAAAUUAUUUUUUAAAUUAAAAAAAAU